AGCCUGUGAGUUUUGGUGUAGACAGGGAAUGGACAGUUGUGAUUAUCCACAGAAAUAAUAAGAAGACAUGUUUCAGCAUGUUUAACUGUAUUUGUGCGUUCAUCUAAAACCAAUGCCUUAUUGUAACGGGAUUCUUCCGUCGAAGGAGAGGCGGACCAAAACGCAGCGUGGCUGCUGUGAGUUCGUGGUUUGUGGUGGAGCUGAUGUGGCUGCUACUCGGGGGAAGAUAGCUGAAGCCGAGGGCCCCAUAUCCUAUCCUCUGGAUGGAUGUGGCGUGAAGGAUCCGAGUGGUGGGCAGCCUGCCAAUCAAGCUGUGCGACCUCCACAUUGAGCCAGCACAAUCACUCCUCCCUCUUUCUCACCCGGCACAGAGCGUCUCACACCCUCUGAAUAUUCUUCCACACACACAUUCCUCCACAUAUUUCUCACAUACGCACAAAUGAACGUUUGAAUGCAUGCGCGUACACACUCACAACACAGCCCCUCAGUUGGGACUAGGUCUACUGGAGAAAGGCUGGCCACUACACACAGUGUUGUGGUCAACAGGUAGGGAUGAUUCUGACUAGAGGAACCACACCGUGACCAACAGAAAGAGAAGAAAGAGUGGCAUUUCUGGUCGAGUAUCUCAUGGGGAGUUGGAUUGAAUGCUGACUGUUGUUGUGUUGUGUGCCGGUGGUGCCACGCAGAGUGAGUGGACUUUGUAAUGAAGAGAUGCUGCGUUGUUUGAUGUGCAUUGUGCAAAAGCCCCGCUCUUUCUGCUUUGUGUUUGUCUUAAGGCUGGAAUGUGGUGCAGGGCUGAUAAAAUGGGAGAAUACAAAUAAGUCUCCAUACUGAUGACCUUGGCAAUGUGAAGAUGCUGGAAUACAGUUUCCAUUUCUGUCAACAUAAUCCCUUGAUAAUGUCGGUCCAUCUCUCUUGUUAAGUCAGCUGAUCAUAAAGUACAGGGCACAGUAAGACUUUUUUGGUUUACAGUUGGACAGAUCUCUUAUUUGAACCAACCUGGUUCUAGAUUCAUUUAGACUGGCGCUAGUCGACACCCGCAUCAGGCUGGCCUCUGAGCCAGGGCUGGCAUUAUGGGUGGACCUUAGGGGCCCUUGCCGCCCUACCGUACCUACUUGCCCGUCCAAUUAAAAUACUGAAAUAAUUUAUAUGACCGUGGAGCGCGCCGACAGAAAGACACAUCAAGCUCAGUUAAAGUGUCUGAGCGAGCAAAACAGCGCCCCCUUUGUCUCAGUAUGUGUAGACCAUGUAUCUGAUGCUGUCUGGACAAAAAUGGUAUGACAUGUCAUACUAUUUCUGGCCAGACAGUAUCAGAUACAUGGGAUACAUAUAGACGGGUGCUGUUUCGCUCCCUCGGAUGCUUUCUCCAGUGAUAUUGUUUCAGCAGAGAAUCAUUCUUUGUGAAUGAUUUGCAGACCUAAUCUUGUCUCCUGCCUUACCGCCUUUGGGACAGACUCCCAUUGUUAGGGUGGAGACAUGAGCCUCUGCUCAUUAUAUACAGAUCUAUGGUUUAAGCCUCUUGCGAAUUGGUAAGGAAAGUUGGUGGGUGCACAAUGCUAAAUUGAUGUUUCACCAAAAUUAUAAUAUUGUUAUUAUUAUACUACCAAAAUAUUUCACCAGGGAGCAUGACUUAGCCACAGAGGAUCAUUAGCUUAUUUUUUAAAAGAAUUGCUGUGGAUUGUUUCAAAUCACAAGUGUGCAGGACUAUGCCUCUUUUUGGGUAGUGCGUGUGGCAAUAGGUCUAGAUGAUUAAGUUGCGGCUGUCAGUGUGAAGAUAAUGCGUCUUGAGUAUAGUUUAAAAUGUUGCAUCAAGAAGAAGGGGAGGAGAGGGGUGUGUGGCAAAGAUAUGGUGCGUCUCUCUCCAGAAUGCAUGUAGGAAAGAGACAAUUUGGCAAUGUCUGAUUUCUGAUUGUCUCAACUCACCACAUACACCACUAAUAUGCUGAGCUUCUCAGUCAUUUGGUCUUCGCCUCACAAGUCAACGAAGUCUGUUAUUUUAACAUCCAGUGUGAAUGAUAGUUCCUCAAUAUUUUACAAAUCUUUCUAACACUACCGGCCUCAAAGCCUUGGCGUGAAAGAGAAAAAAUAGAAUGAUCUGAUGAUCCCACAUAUCCAGUGGAAACGUCAUAAAAGACUGUCUGUCCCGAGCUCACUGUCGCAGGAAACCGUGAGGGCCCGGAAUAUGCUAGUUCACACGUGUCAAACUCAUUCCACGGUGGGCAGAGUGCCUGCAUGUUUUUGCUCCACCCUUGAUUGAUUAAUUAAGGUGACUAAUUAGUAAGGAACUCUACUCACCUGGUUCUAUAGGUCGAAAUUGAAAGGAAAAACAUAAAACCUGCCGACUCUAGGCCCUCCGUGGAAUGAGUUUGACACCCCUGCGCUAGUUGAUGCAGUGUUGCACUUCACUAGCAAAGGCUCAAGUCAAACAGAUAGAAAGGGAAGCAGACAGGUGGAAUAGAGAGAUUCAUGUGAUUGAAAGAAACAAUUUUCAUUAGGAUAUUUUCUACUGUUUUUAUCUGUCGGCUUUAAGCCUAUGUAUGUUACUUAGUUGAUGAUGGAAGUUAUAGGCCUACUGCUGCAUUGGACUAUAGGUUAUCGCUGAGUUCUAUGCUCUCAUUUAUUUAGCCGCCAUGGAUCACAGUGUAUUAAUGUGUCCAUAUGGCAGAGGCUGGUGCUCUCGCCAUAAUUCUAAUUUAAUUUGAACUUUUAGAUUUGUAUCAUUUUCCUACAGAUUUUGACAAUUAACCACGACAACGAUGUUGAGAAACAAAAAUGCACAUAUAAAUGAUAAACUUCCCCAAAGUUGAAACUCACAAGUUGCUAUGGUCUUUAUUAUUACACCCAUAACAAAAAUUGUGAACUCGCAAGCGUGUGCACACAUAGGAGUUCCUGUGAAAAAACGUGCCCCCCUAUGGAAAUCAAAGGUCCAUCCAACUGAUUUGUUCUGACGCCAGCCUUGUUCUGAGGAAUAAAAAACAUACUUUACGUAUUUUACGUAUACUGCAUUGGUUGGGGAGAAUUGGUGGGUAUAAUCCGUGAACAUCUAGCAAUCCAAAGGUUGCGUGUUCGAGUGGUGUUGGUGACAACUUUAGCAUUUUAGCCAACUCUUCCCCUAACCUUUCUUAUAAACUUAACUCAAACAACCUAACCUGCUACGUAAAUUCACCUAACCUUUUUUCGUUAGUUUCCCUAACCAUCAAUGUAAAUUAUCCCUGUAAUUCUUCUUUGUUGUUACAGUGCAACAAGCAAACUGGUCUCAGGGAAAGACGUAUAAUACAAUACGUCAUCCAAGAAGGAUGAUAAAUUAAGUAAUCCAAUUCAUACACUACCAGGUAAGUUGACUGAGAACACAUUCUCAUUUACAGCAACAACUUGGGGAAUAGUUACAGGGCAGAUUAAUAAACCAAUUGGAAGUAGGGGAUGAAGUCCAGAUUGGGAAUUUAGCUAAGUCACUGGGGUUAACACCCCUACUCUUACAAUAAUUGCCAUAGCAUCUUUAAUGACCAUAGAGAGUGAGGACACCUUAACUUCCCUUCCAAAUGACAGCACCCUACACAGUGCAAUGUCCCCAAUCACUGCCCUGGAGCAUUGGGAUGUAUUUUAUAGGAAAGAGUGCCCCCUACUGGCCCUCCAACACCACUUCCUGCAGCAUCUGGUCUCCCAUCACAGGGACCAACCAGACACAACCCUGCUGAGCUUCACAGGCAAACCAGCAGUGGGAUGCAGCAUGGAACACUGCUGGCUGUUGUACAACUGGGUAAGAGGUACUGUAUGAUACUAUAGGUCCUAUAAUUCAUAUGCUAUUGUACGACCGCUAUUGCAUUCGUAAUAUAACUUAACAUAGCGUAAUAUAUCAUACCUGUAACGUCGUUCUUUGUU